AUACGUAGGAUGCGAGCGUUAUCCGGAAUUAUUGGGCGUAAAGCGCGCGCAGGCGGUCCUUUAAGUCUGAUGUGAAAGCCCACGGCUCAACCGUGGAGGGUCAUUGGAAACUGGGGGACUUGAGUGCAGAAGAGGAAAGUGGAAUUCCAAGUGUAGCGGUGAAAUGCGUAGAGAUUUGGAGGAACACCAGUGGCGAAGGCGAGUUGUUGGGCUGUCACAGCCGCUGAGGCGCGAAAGCGUUGGGAGCAAACAGGAUUAGAUUCCCUGGUCGUCCACGCCGUAAACGAUGAGUGCUAAGUGUUAGGGGGUUUCCGCCCCUUAGUGCUGUAGCUAACGCAUUAAGCACUCCGCCUGGGGAGUACGGGCGCAAGACUGAAACUCAAAUGAAUUGACGGGG
rnacentral:rRNA from 1 species